rnacentral:lncRNA from 1 species
GAGGAGCGGCUUGGGGAAGCUCGGCUUGGCUCGAAGGGGGCAGGCACGCGCGGGUCAGAAUCGGGUCGACGCUCGGGUUUCGGCAAAACGGGCGGAUCCUCUUAUUAACUUAAAGCCAAAACGACGUCGUUUUGGGAGGGUAUAAAAUGCAAUCCCCUUCGUUUUUCGGCAGAACGCUCCUCCCCUCUCUCUCUCUUCUUCCCUUUUCCUCUCCCUUCUCUCUAAAAGCUGAAGAACACCGGUGCCGGAUUCUGGAAAAUGUCGUCGGAAUCUGAAAAUUUCUCCGGAAGUUGGUCGGAAUAUCAUCGGUUUCUGGGAAUAUUCGUCGGAAACUGGGUAGGUUGCCGGAAACUUCAAUGUUCGCCGGAAUUGUUGUCGGAAAAUUCAAAUUUUGCCUGAAUUUUCGCUGGAAUCUGGAAAUUUCUCAGAAAUUUCUAGAAAAAUUUUUCGCCAAAAAAUUCUAAAAAAUUUUUCUCACUCCCAGAACACUCCUAAACUUUUCUUAGCUUCCUAUACGCCUUCUUUUCUCUCAAAUCAGUAGCUUUGCUUACUAUUUUCUGUGUGUUUGCAUCUGUUCCAGGGGUCCUUUAUAU